rnacentral:rRNA from 1 species
CAAUAGCGUAUAUUUAAGUUGUUGCAGUUAAAAAGCUCGUAGUUGGAUUUCGGAUGGGAUUUGCCGGUCCGUCGUUACGAUGUGCACUGGCCAGUCCUAUCUUGUUGUCGGGGACUAGCUCCUUGGAUUCACUUCCUGGGACUAGGAGCUGACGAGGUUACUUUGAGUAAAUUAGAGUGUUCAAAGCAAGCCUACGCUCUGAAUACAUUAGCAUGGAAUAACACGAUAGGACUCUGGCUUAUCUUGUUGGUCUGUGAGACCAGAGUAAUGAUUAAGAGGGACAGUCGGGGACAUUCGUAUUUCAUUGUCAGAGGUGAAAUUCUUGGAUUUAUGAAAGACGAACUUCUGCGAAAGCAUUUGCCAAGGAUGUUUNCAUUG